GCCAAUGUAGCUCAGCUGGUAGAGCAAUUGUUUCGUAAAUAAUAGGUCGCGGGUUCGAGUCCCUUCAUUGGCU
rnacentral:tRNA from 1 species